AAUCAACGCUGGCGGCGUGCCUCAGACAUGCAAGUCGAACGAUUAAAGCUCUCUUCGGAGAGUGCAUAGAGUGGCGCACGGGUGAGUAACACGUAAGUAAUCUACCCUCGAGUGGGGAAUAACGUCGGGAAACCGAUGCUAAUACCGCAUAAUGCAGCGGCACCGCAAGGUGACAGUUGUUAAAGAUUUAUCGCUUGAGGAGGAGCUUGCGGCAGAUUAGCUAGUUGGUAAGGUAAUGGCUUACCAAGGCUACGAUCUGUAACCGGUCUAAGAGGACGGUCGGUCACACUGACACUGAAUAACGGGUCAGACUCCUACGGGAGGCAGCAGGUCGGGAAUUUUGGGCAAUGGGCGAAAGCCUGACCCAGCAACGCCGCGUGAAGGAUGAAGUAUUCGGUAUGUAAACUUCGAAAGAAUAGGAAGAAUAAAUGACGGUACUAUUUAUAAGGUCCGGCUAACUACGUGCCAGCAGCCG
rnacentral:rRNA from 1 species